rnacentral:rRNA from 1 species
AUUGAACGCUGGCGGCAUGCCUUACACAUGCAAGUCGAACGGGGGUAGCAAUACCCUAGUGGCGAACGGGUGAGUAAUGCAUCGGAACGUACCCAGUCGUGGGGGAUAACGUAGCGAAAGUUACGCUAAUACCGCAUACGAUCUGAGGAUGAAAGCAGGGGAUCGCAAGACCUUGCGCGAUUGGAGCGGCCGAUGUCGGAUUAGCUAGUUGGUAGGGUAAAAGCCUACCAAGGCGACGAUCCGUAGCUGGUCUGAGAGGGCGACCAGCCACACGGGGACAGAGACACGGCCCAGACUCCUAGGGGGGGCAGCAGUGGGGAAUUUUGGACAAUGGGGGAAACGCUGAUCCAGCCAUGCCGCGUGAGUGAAGAAGGCCUUCGGGUUGUAAAGCUUUUUCGGACAGAAAGAAAUCUUUCGGGCUAAUACCUCGGAAGGAUGACGGUACUGUAAGAAGAAGCACCGGCUAACUACGUGCCAGCAGCCGCAGUAAUAC